rnacentral:tRNA from 1 species
GCGGGUGUGGCGGAAUGGCAGACGCGCAUGGUUCAGGUCCAUGUGGGCUUAGGCCCGUGAAGGUUCAACUCCUUUCACCCGCACCA